AUAAAUUAAAACUACAUAGUAGCAACAAAUAAUACUACUAUGUCAUUUCUCCUUUCGUUAUCCCCUUGUUCAGAGGGAAGAGGAGCUCAAUCAAAGAGCGUAAAACAAUGGCAGCAUCAACCCUGACUUUCAAUGGCUUUUCAACCCUACAAAAUUUCCCCGUAAAUCCUCAUCUUAAUUUUACGCUAUCUUGUAUUCGCCAUACUCUUUGCCGGUUUCUAAUUUGAGUCGCCGUAAUUUUACAUAAGUUCCACUUUUCAUUGUGCGUAGGGAGUAUGAUAAUUUGUCUUAAAUGCAGAAAAUUGCAGCAGUUGAAAAUACAAAACGUAUGAACUUUUCCAUUCGUUCGCAGGUGAGAAUUCUUCGUUGCCUUCGAGAUUUUAUCUUCCAGUUGUAACUUUUUUCACACAGGUGUUUUUAAUAUUUUUUUUAACUUGAUGUACAGAGCGCGUCGAAUUCUAAAAAUGAAGGCCGUGGAGGAAGGCGAAUAUGGAGGCGAAGAAAAUUGGUAAGCCGAAGAAUAUGUUGUUAGGAUUAUGAUUCCAACUAAAUAUAACAACCUUCAUAUUGAACAAUUCGGAAUUAAA
rnacentral:lncRNA from 1 species